CCUACGGGUGGCAGCAGUGGGGAAUAUUGCACAAUGAGGGGAACCUUGAUGCAGCAAUGCCGCGUGAAGGAUGAAGGUUUUCGGAUUGUAAACUUCUUUUGUACGGGACGAAGAAAGUGACGGUACCGUAAGUAUAAGCCACGGCUAACUACGUGCCAGCAGCCGCGGUAAUACGUAGGUGGCAAGCGUUAUCCGGAUUUACUGGGUGGAAAGGGCGAGUUGGCGGGAUUGCAAGUCAGAUGUGAAAACUACGGGCCUAACCGCUUGAGCGCAUUGGAAACUGCAGUACUUGAGUGAUGGAGAGGCAGGCGGAAUUCCAGGUGUAGCGGUGGAAUGCGUAGAUAUCGGGAAGAACACCAGAGGCGAAGGCGGCCUGCUGGAUCUUAACUGACGCUGAGGCGCGAAAGCGUGGGGAGCAAACAGGAUUAGAUACCCCAGUAGUC
rnacentral:rRNA from 1 species